GACGAACGCUGGCGGCGUGCCCAAUACAGCCAAGUAGCACGCAGACGCGAAAGGGUGAGUAACGCGCAGGUAACUGCCUCAUAGCGGGGGAUAACUAUUGGAAACGAUAGCUCAUACCGCAUCCUGUGAGAUGGACCUGCGUUGUAUUAGCUAGUUGGUGAGGUAAAGGCUCACCAAGGCGAAGAUACAUAGCCGACCUGAGAGGUGGAUCGGCCAUACUGGGACUGGACGACGGCCCAGACUCCUUCGGCAGGCAGCAGUAGGGAAUGUUCGGGAAUGGACGGAAGGCUGACCGGGCAACGCCGCGUGAGUGAAGAAGGUAUUCGGAUCGUAAAGCUCGGUGGUGAGAGAAGCGGUGACUACCCAGAAAGGGACGGCUAACUACGCGCCAGCCGCCGCGGUAAUUC
rnacentral:rRNA from 1 species